ACAUUAGUGGGAUUACUCAGGAGAGAAGGCACCACUUUCCUAGUUUCUUGCUUUAAGUUGAAAGAAAGAAAACAGGAUAAUAAUGCUAUCCAAAAUAAUACAAUUCUUUCUUAGAAAGAAUAACAAAGUUGUCCCAGAAGGGCUGCUGAAGAAAAGGCCCUGCAUUCUCCUCAUCCUCCAGAAGAGCAACAGAAUCCGACCUACGCAGACUCUUGGAAAAUCCUCCAAGAAGUACAUUCUGGGUUUUGCCUGAAGGCUGCGAUGCUUCUGAUUUCAGUACAGAGAAAGUCCAAGAGGGGCAGGAUCUCCUCCAAACUGAGACAUCAUUGCUAUUGGAAAUGGGACAUCAUUGUUGUGGCAUCAUCACUAUUGUAAAUAGAAGCCUAGAAGGGCAAACAGGACGAAGAGGAGCAAGUUUGAUUCCUCAUCAUCAUAUUUCAUCUUUCUUUGGCCACAUAUAAAAUGAGAAGGCACUUCAGCUGCCAUUUUCUAAAGUCCAUCUAGCAGAAGUUAUUGUGAGUGAGCUAAAGCACCCCAAACCCAGUGGCAACUAAUUAUUGGACAUGAAACCCAAGGAAUUACCUCUGGGAAAAUAUUCCUUCAAAAUUUGAGGGAAGUGGACUAUGUAGCCAAAACAUAACAUUCACAUAAUGUUCUCCUUGGUAGUAUAUCUCUUAUUUAAGGAUAUCUGUGGAGAGACAGCUGCUGAAAGAAACACAUGAUGAGGCUCAUGUGUUUGCCUCAUAAAAUGAUGAGGCUCGAAGAAAAGUUAGAAAUGUCACAGCACAUGAAUAAUUAAGUCACAUCUUUGUUUUGCUUCUUGAUGCCUUCUAGCAGGUGACAGAAAUGUUUCACCCACAUUAAAUGUCUGCUUCAGUACUGUCCUGCUCAAUGAUGACCAUUGAAUGUAACUUAUUUGGAAUUUGUGCAAGAAUGUUUACAGUAUUUCCAAUAUUCAGGAAUAAGAGAUGAGCAAGGAGAAAGGAUAAAUACAGGCAGAUGUAUUUAUAAAACUCAAAUCCCAAAGCAAAAAUAAAAUGUUGGACAAUAAUCAAUGCCACAACACAAAAAUAAUAUGUAACUCAAAAGACACAUAACAGUAUAAAAGAGCUGAUUGCUCCACUGGGCUGAGAAGUUAAUUGAACAAAACAUUGGAAGAUAUUCCUGAAAGAGAAGACAUCAAGAACCUCCAAGAAGUUUUAAGCUGCUAUCUCGGAAUAUGUGACUCAAGAAUACAGAGGUCUUUCCUUCCUCAGUUGUGAUUCCUACUUUCUGGUCUUCAGAGACUUUGAUUCUGAAUUUAAUGGAGCCUCCGUUUAAAAGUUCACACCUCAGUGAUACUAGGAUGGGCACCUCGAGUAUUUGGUUAUUGACUCAGGAUGGAUAACCGAUCCUGCCCGCAUUACACAGACUAAUAUUUUAUCCCCCAGUAUCCCAGUAACAUCCAUUCUCCUCUUCCUAAACACCUUGAAUCCCAUAUAUUCCACUUGACUCUCCACCUUGUUCUAAACAUUGACCCUGAGGACUGCAGUAUUUCCAAUCAGGAGGAUCCCCUCAUCCUUUGCAGAAAAAUGCUUACGUACAACCCUUCGCUUAUUGAGUACAAUGAUAUGAUGACCUGAUUUGUAUCAGUGAUUCAACUGGACCUCAUGCAGAUCAGCCAGAUCCUUCUAGAUCUUGAGAACAACCUACUAUCCAAUCUAAUUUGAGGGGAAUAUUAUGAUAGAUACAAUUUUCCAAAAGAGCAAAGCUCCUUUGGUGACAACCUAUCUCCAUGCAAGUAUCCCUUAACAGCCCCCCAAAGGUCCAAUGGUACCAUAGACUCUUUUAAGUUCCUGCUGCUACUUUCUGUUACAACAUAUAGAAGAAUGGAUCACGGACAUAACUUCUACAGUGACCAACAAAUCCAUCAGUCUCCGUUCUUCCUUGCUCCACCUUGUCCUAAAUAUACCACAACUAUGUGUAUACCUCAUAUAUGUUCCAGGUUGGCAUCAAAAGGCUAUUGAGUUCUGAUCUGAGAGAACAGGAAGUCAAGAAAUGUGGAUCUAAAUUGCAAUUAUUUCUUCCUUUGAAUUAAGUUAAGAACUGAAUCUGAGAGCUAAACAUCUUGUUUAGGACUUUUCCUCCCUGUAUUUGUUUCAUACAGAAUAUUGCACCUCCCCAUUAUUAUAACCAUAUAACUUUUAUGUUUAUUUGUUUUUAAAAUAAUAACAAAAAAUAAUAAAAUAGAGAUAUUAUUAUACUUCAUAUAAA